UGGGGAAUAUUGCGCAAUGGCCGAAAGGCUGACGCAGCGACGCCGCGUGGGGGAUGAUGCAUUUCGGUGUGUAAACCCCUGUUGCCCGGGACGAACAAGCAGAUUUUUCUGCUCUGACGGUACCGGGUGAGGAAGCACCGGCUAACUCCGUGCCAGCAGCCGCGGUAAUACGGAGGGUGCGAGCGUGGUCCGGAAUCACUGGGCGUAAAGGGCGCGUAGGCGGUCUGCUAAGCGUGCGGUGAAAGCCCGGGGCUCAACCCCGGGUCGGCCGUGCGAACUGGUGGACUAGAGCACUGUAGAGGCAGGUGGAAUUCCGGGUGUAGCGGUGGAAUGCGUAGAGAUCCGGAAGAACACCGGUGGCGAAGGCGGCCUGCUGGGCAGUAGCUGACGCUGAGGCGCGACAGCGUGGGGAGCAAACA
rnacentral:rRNA from 1 species